rnacentral:rRNA from 1 species
CUGAAUCAGUGUGUGUGUUAGUGGAAGCGUCUGGAAAGGCGCGCGAUACAGGGUGACAGCCCCGUACACAAAAAUGCACAUGCUGUGAGCUCGAUGAGUAGGGCGGGACACGUGGUAUCCUGUCUGAAUAUGGGGGGACCAUCCUCCAAGGCUAAAUACUCCUGACUGACCGAUAGUGAACCAGUACCGUGAGGGAAAGGCGAAAAGAACCCCGGCGAGGGGAGUGAAAAAGAACCUGAAACCGUGUACGUACAAGCAGUGGGAGCCUCUUUUAUGGGGUGACUGCGUACCUUUUGUAUAAUGGGUCAGCGACUUAUAUUCUGUAGCAAGGUUAACCGAAUAGGGGAGCCGAAGGGAAACCGAGUCUUAACUGGGCGUUAAGUUGCAGGGUAUAGACCCGAAACCCGGUGAUCUAGCCAUGGGCAGGUUGAAGGUUGGGUAACACUAACUGGAGGACCGAACCGACUAAUGUUGAAAAAUUAGCGGAUGACUUGUGGCUGGGGGUGAAAGGCCAAUCAAACCGGGAGAUAGCUGGUUCUCCCCGAAAGCUAUUUAGGUAGCGCCUCGUGAAUUCAUCUCCGGGGGUAGAGCACUGUUUCGGCAAGGGGGUCAUCCCGACUUACCAACCCGAUGCAAACUGCGAAUACCGGAGAAUGUUAUCACGGGAGACACACGGCGGGUGCUAACGUCCGUCGUGAAGAGGGAAACAACCCAGACCGCCAGCUAAGGUCCCAAAGUCAUGGUUAAGUGGGAAACGAUGUGGGAAGGCCCAGACAGCCAGGAUGUUGGCUUAGAAGCAGCCAUCAUUUAAAGAAAGCGUAAUAGCUCACUGGUCGAGUCGGCCUGCGCGGAAGAUGUAACGGGGCUAAACCAUGCAC